AAAACAAGCACAAGGCAACACCAAAUAAAACAUGCACAUUCUUGUCAAAUAUACUUGUCUGUGCUCCAAGAAACCUUAUUGUAUUUGCUCCACUUGGUUGUGUCGCGUUCACUACCUCGCUUGUUUUAUUGCUUACUUUCUUGCUUCCUGGAAAUAUACAACUCCCGUGACUUGGAUCAGUUGUGGUGAUCAUGGCCACUCCCUUGAAGUCACAAGAACUAGGAGAUCCCCCUUCUUUCUGAUAAUAGCUAUCAAAUGCAUAUGAAGCAUGGUUCUUCACAUCAUUAGGCUGAUAACAACUCUCUCCUG
rnacentral:misc_RNA from 1 species